UUGGAGGGCAAGUCUGGUGCCAGCAGCCGCGGUAAUUCCAGCUCCAAUAGCGUAUAUUAAAGUUGUUGCAGUUAAAAAGCUCGUAGUUGAAUUUCGGGGUCAGCAGGUUGGUCGUGCCACUGGUAUGCACUGGCCUCGCUGAUUCCUCCCUCUUGUAGAACCGUAAUGCCAUUAAGUUGGUGUUGCGGGGAGACAGGACUGUUACUUUGAAAAAAUUAGAGUGUUUAAAGCAGGCUAACGCUUGAAUACAUUAGCAUGGAAUAAUGAAAUAGGACGAUCGAUCCUAUUUUGUUGGUUUCUAGGGUUGACGUAAUGAUUAAUAGGGAUAGUUGGGGGCAUUAGUAUUCAAUUGUCAGAGGUGAAAUUCUUGGAUUUAUUGAGGAUUGACUACUGCGAAAGCAUUUGCCAAGGAUGUUUUCAUUAAUCAAGAACGAAAGUUAGGGGAUCGAAGACGAUCAGAUACCGUCGUAGUCUUAACCAUAAACUAUGCCGACUAGGGAUCGGAUGAUGUUAAUUUUUUAAUGACUCAUUCGGCGCCUUACGGGAAAC
rnacentral:rRNA from 1 species